rnacentral:ncRNA from 3 species
UACGAAGGGUGCAAGCGUUAAUCGGAAUUACUGGGCGUAAAGCGUGCGUAGGCGGUUUGUUAAGUCCGAUGUGAAAGCCCUGGGCUCAACCUGGGAAUGGCACUGGAUACUGGCAGGCUAGAAUGUGGUAGAGGGGUGCGGAAUUUCCGGUGUAGCGGUGAAAUGCGUAGAGAUCGGAAGGAACAUCCGUGGCGAAGGCGGCACCCUGGACCAACAUUGACGCUGAGGCACGAAAGCGUGGGGAGCAAACAGG